rnacentral:rRNA from 1 species
UACGGGGGGGGCAAGCGUUGUUCGGAAUUACUGGGCGUAAAGGGCGCGUAGGCGGUUUGUUAAGUUGGAUGUGAAAACUGUGGGCUCAACCCAUAGCCUGCAUCCAAUACUGACAGGCUAGAGUUCUGGAGGGAUAGCGGAAUUCCUGGUGUAGCGGUGAAAUGCGUAGAUAUCAGGAGGAACACCGGUGGCGAAGGCGGCUAUCUGGACAGAGUCUGACGCUGAGGCGCGAAAGCUAGGGGAGCAAACAGG